UACUAAAGGGGAAAUGUUGUACGUCUUAUGUAAAUUAUAAGGUUCAUAAGCGUAUAGCUUUUCCCCUUUAGUG
rfam:Lutzomyia longipalpis Contig3175, whole genome shotgun sequence.